UACGGAGGAUGCAAGCGUUAUCCGGAAUGAUUGGGCGUAAAGCGUUCGUAGGUGGCAAUGCAAGUCUGCUGUCAAAGCGUCUGGCUCAACCAGAUAAAGGCAGUGGAAACUACAUAGCUAGAGUAAGGUAGGGGUAGAGGGAAUUCCUGGUGUAGCGGUGAAAUGCGUAGAGAUCAGGAAGAACACCGGUGGCGAAAGCGCUCUGCUGGACCUUAACUGACGCUGAGGGACGAAAGCUAGGGGAGCGAAUGGG
rnacentral:rRNA from 1 species